UUAUUCGCGGCGAUCCCGGGUGUGUCUGGACCCCUGAAUAAUGCAACAGCAAAUACCUGACCCUUGGCAAUUGAAUGACCUCUGUAAAAUGGGAGAUGAGGACCCUGUGGUAAUGCAACUGAAGACACCAACCCUGGAUGUGAUUCUAUCCCCCUGUGAUAAUGCAAGAAUGUAGAACUGCAGUGCCAUGGAAGCUAAGGCUUGUAGAAAGGAAUCCCUGAGAGAAGAGUUGUGGAAGGAUGACCUCUCCAUAAUUGGAGAUGCAGAUCCUUUUGUAAUGCAACAGAAGACACCCAUUCUGGAGGUGAUUGUAUCAAUCCAACAUAAUAUAGGAAGCAGUAGAAUUCCAAUUCCAUGGAAACUCAGGCUUACAGGAAAGCAUCCCUGAGGAAGGAGCUGUGGAAGGAUGACCUCUCCAUAAUGGCAGAUUUGUGACUGAUGUCCUUCAGAGGGAACAGCCAGGAAGGAGACGUGG